GGCUUCACCAAGGCGACGAUCCGUAACUUGGUCUGAGAGGAUGAUCAGUCACACUGGAACUUGAGACACGGUCCAGACUCCUACGGGAGGCAGCAGUGGGGAAUAUUGGACAAUGGGCGAAAGCCUGAUCCAGCCAUGCCGCGUGUGUGAAGAAGGUCUUCGGAUUGUAAAGCACUUUAAGUUGGGAGGAAGGGCAGUUACCUAAUACGUGAUUGUUUUGACGUUACCGACAGAAUAAGCACCGGCUAACUCUGUGCCAGCAGCCGCGGUAAUACAGAGGGUGCAAGCGUUAAUCGGAAUUACUGGGCGUAAAGCGCGCGUAGGUGGUUUGUUAAGUUGGAUGUGAAAUGCCCCGGGCUCAACCUGGGAACUGCAUUCAAAACUGACUGACUAGAGUAUGGUAGAGGGUGGUGGAAUUUGCCUGUGUAGCGGUGAAAUGCGUAGAUAUAGGAAGGAACACCAGUGAGCGAAGGCGGACCACCUGGACUAAUA
rnacentral:rRNA from 1 species